rnacentral:rRNA from 1 species
GAACCAGCGGAGGGAUCAUUACCGAGUUCUAAACUCCCAACCCUUUGUGAACCUUACCACUGUUUCCUCGGCGUGGUCGCAGGCCUUAACAGGUCCGGCCUUAGCGGUUCGAGACCCGCCGAAGGACCCCCAGUCUCUUUGGAUUAUAGAGUACAUAUCUGAAUGCUUCAAAACAAAUAAGUUAAAACUUUCAACAACGGAUCUCUUGGUUCUGGCAUCGAUGAAGAACGCAGCGAAAUGCGAUAAGUAAUGUGAAUUGCAGAAUUCAGUGAAUCAUCGAAUCUUUGAACGCACAUUGCGCCCAUUAGUAUUCUAGUGGGCAUGCCUAUUCGAGCGUCAUUUCAACCCUUAAGCCCUGUAGCUUAGCGUUGGGAACCUGCGGCUACGAGACGCAGCUCCCUAAAAUUAGUGGCGGAGUCAUAGCACACCCUGAGCGUAGUAAAAGACCCUCGCUUCUGUGGUGGCUCUGACGGCUUGCCGUGAAACCCCCUAUAACUCUAGUGGUUGACCUCGGAUUAGGUAGGAAUACCCGCUGAACUUAAGCAUAUCAAUAAGCGGAGGAAAAGAAACCAACAGGGAUUGCCCUAGUAACGGCGAGUGAAGCGGCAACAGCUCAAAUUUGAAAUCUGGCCCUAGGUCCGAGUUGUAAUUUGCAGAGGAUGCUUUUGGCGCGGUGCCUUCCGAGUUCCCUGGAACGGGACGCCAGAGAGGGUGAGAGCCCCGUACGGUUGGAUACCUAGCCUAUAUAUAGCUCCUUCGACGAGUCGAGUAGUUGGGAAUGCUG